GAAACGUACUAAUCUUGGAUCUGAAGUUUUACGGAUAUCGAAAUCAAAACUGUACAUUAUCGAUUUUUAAGCGCUUUCUAAUUUAUUUGGUUUUUUCGCGUGUGCAUUGGAUUUCGAAAUUCGUUUCGAUUUGUAUAGUUAAUUAUUUCAAAUGCCUUUAAAAACCGGGAACCGUGCACGUUUGGAAAAUGGACUUUCAUCAAUUUUGUUUAUUCAAUUUUACAUUUUGAUUGGAAC